UCCUUAGCAAGGACUAUGGGUUAUUAUCUUUGCAGUAUAGUGUCAUAGCAUCCAAUGUCAUAACAUCGAGUUCCGCAACUAUCACAAAAAUUAGAAUGCAUCCUGUACAUCUAUAGCAUAUCAACUUUUAUUCGUCGGUUGCUUGGAACCUUUCCAACAUACCAAAAUUAUAUAACUGGAGAAUACAUACUAAUGUAGACAUUCUACCAUCAGUAUCAGUGUAUCCUCCCUCUCUUAGCUCUGACCCUUCUCCAA
rnacentral:lncRNA from 1 species